rnacentral:tRNA from 1 species
UGGGGUAAAGCUUUAUAUUGAAGCGGCGGGCUUUUGACUCGAGGAAGCCUAUUGGGCUACCCUGU